rnacentral:rRNA from 1 species
GCGUUGUCCGGAUUUAUUGGGCGUAAAGAGCGUGUAGGCGGCUUGGUAGGUCCGCUGUGAAAACUCGAGGCUCAACCUCGAGAUGUCGGCGGAAACCACUUGGCUAGAGUCCGGAAGAGGAGAGUGGAAUUCCCGGUGUAGCGGUGAAAUGCGCAGAUAUCGGGAAGAACACCUAUGGCGAAGGCAGCUCUCUGGGACGGUACUGACGCUGAGACGCGAAAGCGUGGGGAGCGAACAGG